UGCGGGAGGUGGGGGAGAGGAGCUCGUUUUCACCUAGGGAAGACGAAUGACAGCCAUAGAAGAAGAGGCAUCAUCCUGUCUCUAAAUGGCAGGAGGACUUUGUAUAAGCCUUCCAGACAAUGGAAGCCAUGUGGGCGAAGACUCAGGAACCACGUACCAUCCAAAGGCCCGGGGAAGAAAUUACAGGUAAAGAACAAGCCCAAGCUGAUAAAUUCGUCAGAAAGUAUAUCCUAAAGUGAACCAUUCAUCUCACCUGCUAUGCAAGACUUCAACUGUGAUGGUGACACAGAUGGAAAAUGGACUGGAGCUUUACUGACAGUCAGUGGUUCUAGGUCAGCCUCGGUAUGCAGGAUUCACAAAGUGAAGUUGGAGAAGGAGAACUGAAGUCUAAGAACUUGCAGGUGAACAGGGAAAAUUACAUUUGAAAGGAAGCGAAACCACACAAGCCCUAGAUGCACCAUUGGUAAAUUCCUCAACUUCCAAAGAAGGAUUUCACUGUGUGGACUCUUGUGGAUGGAACAGAG
rnacentral:lncRNA from 1 species